AAUAAAUUUAUUCGUGGGUUUCUGUGUCUAACGUUUGACCGUCCGUCUUAUUUAAAAUUUUUUUAUGAUAAGUAUUUUUAUUGUUAUUAGAUGAUAAAGCAUGAAUAAUAUUUUAUGCGUGUCUUAUUUUUUAAAAAAUAUUUUUUUUUCAAAUAAGACGGUCAAACGUUGAAUAAAAAACCGAUAAAUGAACUUAUU
rfam:Oryza rufipogon genomic scaffold, chr06